rnacentral:lncRNA from 1 species
CAACUGGGUAUUAUAUUAAAUGAUUAAUUCAACUGGCAUUUGUGUGAAAGAACCAUUAAUUAACAGAAGUUAAUGUAUUAUUAGAAACAAAACGUUUAUUUGUGUAGAGUAUGUAUAGAUCUAGUUGCAGUGAGAAAUGCAAAUGAGAAAAAUUGUCUAAAGUUAAAUGAAAGUGUUCAAUUUGUAUAAUCUUGUAAAAGUAGAGAUGUUUUUAAAAAUGUUAGGGGUAGCAGAGGAGAAAAUCAGAAGAGAAAUAAUUUAACUAGUGAGUAUAUGUUUUAUAUAUAAGUUCUCUACAUAUAAUCUUCACACUCUGGAGCACGUUUAUUUUCUUAUGUACUUUUUUUAGACACAAGUAUUUUGUUUUAUUUUUCUAUAUCACCUUUAAUUAAGCUUUUGUUAUCUUGAGUGUUAAAUCUUCCAUUCUGUAUUUGCAAAUACUGAGGUGAUCUUUAAAUCCUUUGCAGAUCGGUAUUAUUUAAUGCAGACAACAUUUCAGGAAGAUAUCUAUAUAGUACUCGUAGCUGACUAUUUGUCUAAGAAAAUGACUACUGUACAGUUCUUUGUAUAUACAUAAAAAUCUAAUAUUAAUUAGUAGCGCCUUUAUGAUCUAUGUCCUGUAAUUGAAGGGAUAUGUAAAUAUUCAUGGAGGUAUUCAGGGAUGAAACUUAUGUUAGUAAGCCUGUGUCCUACAUCAUCAAUUUUAUAUGUGAUAAAUUUUUUUGGUAACGUGAAAAUUAUUCUCAUACAGAUGACUCAUUUUCUAGAAUGACUAUAGUGAAUGGUCUCUAUAUUCAGACAUAGAUAUUUUUAUUUAUUCUUGAAAAAUGUAUGAUAGAACUGAUAUUUGCACUCUGACAUUGAAAUGAUACUAUUAUUUCAGUAAUUUUGUAUGACUAUUGCUAUAAUUUGUUACAAAAUCUUCACUGGCCUGCAUAUAGAUGAACAUUAUGAUAUAUUUUCAAAUUUGUUCUUUAUUUUAUUUCUUUCAUUUUCCUCUCUCAAGCCAAGUUCAUAACAAAAACUUCUGUGCUUUGUCUGCUAUCUUUGGCUGUGUUUCACUGUAACAUGCACUGCUGUUCUUUUAGCACCAAAAUGUUGGCACAUGUUACUGAAAAUUUCACACCAUCUCUUGCUGGAUCAGCAAGCUUAACCUACCAAAAUCUGGUGUUGUUGAAUGGUUUUUGACUGAUAAUCAAUCUUUUUGCUGCUCGACAGUUGUUGCUGGGACACAGACUAGAGCAGGUGGCAGAUGUGCCUUGUCUUUUGAGAAAAGAAAGAGUAGGUGAGCUUGGGCACAAAGUAACAUAUUGCAUGUCCAUUAAAAGGGUAAGUAUAACAGGGAAAAGUCACUGCUGUAAGUAGAAAAACCACCAAUAUCAGAAAUAGGCCUUUUUAUACUCCCAUUUACAACUUCAAUAGAGCUGGAAAAUGUCACUAAUGUAGAAUUCCACAUGCUCAGAAAUCAGAACUGACAUUAAAAGUGUUACUUCUCUAAAAAACAUUCCAUAGUACUUUUUCUGGCUUGUAUUUUUUGUUAUUUAUACAUAGUAUGAGAGUAUGAGUCAAAAAUUUAUUUUAAAUUAGCUUCAGUAUAUUGAAGAUAGAUUUCAGAAAUGUAUAAAUAUAGAGAGGCAGACAGUGUGUACUUCAUUUUUUUUUUCUCUAGCGCAAGACUAGGAACAGAGAAUAAGGUAGUAUAACUUGUCAGUGUGAACGUACUGAUUGCUGCAUUAAAAUUCUUAAUGCAUAGACAACAAGUUCAAACUUCACCAGCAAAUCUGUUUUGCAUGAUAUACUUUAAUAUCCCAGCCCUGAAAAGUGAUCACGUGGAAAUUAGACUUUUUAAAUGUACAGUACAGUUACACAUAAAUAUUUGCAAAGUCAGCAUCAUUGUUGAAAUCUGUAUUUUAAAUAUUCAACCAGUCACAAAGUGUGUCAAAGGCAUAUCAUCUUACACAUACUUUAAUUGAUUCAAGAGAUAUAAAUACCUGGAAUAAUUAGAAUUCCCAGUUAUGGCUUUUUCCAGUUGAUUUGGAUUUUUUCACCUCCUCGCCCUUCUUACAUAUUAAAAUUCUAAUUGAAAAUGAAUAAGAAUAAAUAAAUAAAGAAACUGACUAGUUUUAUCAUCUGAGAUAAAAAUUGAAAGCUAUCACUUCUGUUGAUUUAUUUAAAUGUUUAUAAUAAAUACAACUGACAUAUCACUUAAAGUGUCAUUCCAAUUAGCUAAGAAAAAAGAACCAAGUCUCAAGCAUUUUUAACAUAUUUUGGAGAGAUUAUUUUAGAACUUGUAUGUUGCAGAACUGUGCCAAAGAGUUAAUGCCCUGUGGUAUGUUAUUAUUCCAUGUAAUUUACAUAUGAUGAACAUCUGUGUUUGCAUGUAAUUCUGGUUCAUUAGAAAUAUAUUGGAGUGCAUAUACAUGUGUGUUUGUUUGAAGGCGUUUGUAUUUAUAACAGUUUCUCAACUUAAAAAAUAUUAGAUAUUCUUAUUUAUUCUUUUCAAUACCUCUUGUUUCUUCUGUCAGCUUUUAUUUUAAAACACUUGCAUCUUUGCAAUUGAAUUUCAGGUGUCCAGUAUACUGCUCCAAUUUUUCUUCAUUAGUUAUGAAAUUAAAGUGAUAAUAAGUUCUUUCUAUUUAAUUUAAUUCUAGUAACAAUAGCAGCAUUGCAUAAGAAAAUAAUCAAUUAGCUAUUGCUCUUUCAUAAAAUGUUUGUGCAUUUUGUCACUAUUGCAAAAAAUAUGGCCACGUGUAAGUUUACAUUCAGUAUUUUUUUCAGUUUAUGUGUUUACCUUGAACAUGCUUGGGAAUUACUAAAUUGGAAAUAAAGGAGUUUUGAAUGACCAAUUGAUUGUGGACUUGGACAGCAGUCCAAAACCACUUAUACUCAGAUCUAAUUCACUGUACCACUGAGAGUGAUUUCUGUAGGAGCCUUCAGAGAAGUUAAGCAUUUGUAUUUUUAUAUGCCUAUACUGACUAGACAUACAACUCACCUGUCGGUAGUCUUGUUGUAUACAAUAUCUAAUUUAGCUACACUGAUCUUAAGCUGAAUCACUUUCUACAGACAGCAUUUUGGCCAAAGUAUUUUUGUUGAUGUGCCAUGCUCAUAUAUUUUUUCUAAGUCAUAGUGACAAGGCUUCUUUGCUGAAGCAUAGUCCACUUUGCAGAUCAUAUAAGUCACUUCAUCUAAUUAAUCCAUUUUAUUACUAGGGUGUAGGGCACUGUUUAUGACCUCCAGAUUUUAUGCUGUGCAUGACUGAAUUAAAGGAAGUUUUUUGUGUUCUUUGUUUUUUUUAUUACACAGAUUGCUAUGUUACUUUAGUGGCUGGAUUAAAAGAUACUAUGUCCUGUUCUGUUCCUUUAAGGGUGUUGACAAGUAUGCGUUUAUAGCAUUUUUGGUACAAAUAUAACAAACCGCAAGUAUCAUUCUAGUCAAGACAUUUACCAUAACAGUACAUUUUAUUUUAAUGAAUGAGAUUUUCUUGUCUCAAAAUAAAUUCACCGUUAUACAGUUUUAAAAAUAAUGUUUUGAAUAUGUUUAAAAAAUGGAAGAACUAAGAUAGUGUAUUUUAUAUUCAUUUACUAUAGUUAAUAGUGGAUGAGUGUACCUUCAUUUUAGUUUUUGUUCAACAGUAAUUUUUAUAAACAUUUAAACCUCACUUUGCAUUGUCUAAUAAUUCUGAGAAUGUAUUGCUAGUGUCUAUGAACAGAUAUGGAAACAAUGAGCUCAUAAAUGAUCACAUUUUUGCGACUUAGCCAAUGUUCUUCUGUUUAGAGUUAUAAUUGUAUAAUAUGUACGUUUCCAUUGUCAUAUUUUAAAAGUAAAACCAAACAUAAUGAAAACGAUUUUGUCUUUUAUUGAUACCCUUUGAAAAAGAGACCAGUGAAAAAAGUAAUCCCAAUUUAGUGUUCUUAAUGCUGCAUUUUGUGUCUGUAUUGAAAUAAAGAUACAUGAUUUUUUCUGUUAAAGAACAUUUAGAUGCCGCGUGAUCUACAAAAUUUAAUACUUCACCAUGACAAGUUCCAGUUGACAAGAAUGUGUGUUGAAGAUUUCAGAAUACACCACGGGACUUAUUGGAAGCUAUACAAGUUUGUUCUUGAAUCAUCAAAAUGUUCUUGGAUACCUUAGAUAGACAAUAGCUUAAUCAUAUCCUGAAAGAGUAACAGAACCCCUCACUGUUGAGAGAGUUGCUAGUAUAACAGAGAUUAUAUUUUAGAUUUUGUUUCUGACAGAUAACAUACUUUAAUAUUUUAUCAUGGAAAAACUAUAUUCAAAUUAUUAUUGCACAUUUUUACAGCCCUUUAUUGUUGUGAUUAUCUAUUUGAAAUGUGAAGUAUCCACUUCGGAGCUAUUUUGGAACCCUUCAUGAUACUAAAAGUUUCCUUUCUAGCCACUCAAUGGCAUUGAACUCUUCAGUGUUUCAUUUUCAGGAUUCUAAUGAUAUGAUACCACCUUUAAAUGCUGCAUCUCUUCCUCCUUUAGAUUUCACAAUUAGCAAACUCUGCUGCUUCUUUUGAUACCAAAAGCGAAGGUGCAUAUAGUGUUUCCUCAAUCACUUUCACAGCAGAUUUUUAUAAAAAAUAUCUAUCUAGACAUGGAGUCAUAUUGAUGGUUCAGUAACCAUAGUAAAUGUAUGUUGCCUGGCUUUAACUUUAUUUCCUAGACAUAGACUUCUCUCUCCUGUGCAUUAAACUUGGUAGUUUCUUAAAGAAAUAAGUGGAAUGUUUGUGAUGUACUUUAGCUUGAUGAUGUUUCUGGUCUGUAAAUAAAUUUUCCACCGUGACAUGACAGAAUGACUAGAUUGAUUUCUAGGAGCACACAAUAGGCUUUAUGGAAUGAGAGAUGACAACUUAACUAGAAGGUGUAAACUGAUAGCCAAAUGUGAUAAUAUGUAUUUAUGUGUAUGUAUAUGUGUAUAAAGUGGCAAUACACACUAAGUGUGAGUGUAUAUAUAUGUGUAGUGCUAUUUUCUAGACUGGACAAUUAUUUUCCAAACAUAGCUUUAAAAUUACGUAUUGAAUGAAAACAAUAUGGAAGCACUAAGGUACAGCAAAUGCAUUUAAUGUAAUUAUAUGUGAAAAGUAUAGCUCUGUUUAGUCAGUAGUCUGAUUUGACCUUCCUAGUCAUGUCAUAGAAGACAGAUCCAGGGUAAAUUUUGAGAAUUAUUUAUGCGUAGAAAGAACCAGGGUUUGGAAGGCAGUUUUGUCCAUAUCUUUUGCAUAAUCAACUAACAAUCUUGGUCUGUAGAACCUUUGUUUUAGUUCCUUUGCACUAGGCAGAACUAUAACAAUGAAACAUUCUUUAAGUAAUGCAAAACAUUGGGACAUCUAUCCCUGCUAACUUGCAGACUGCAGUAGGAAUUUAUUUGAAAUAUUUUGUACUUAAAUCUCUGACCCUUGGUAUAAAAUCCUCCAAAACUAAAUUGGUUGCUUGCUGUCCCAGUCCACAAGGAGAUGGUCUUACCAUUCUAGAUCCAAGAAAUCUUCUCUCUUCAAGAAGAAGAAAUGUUCAAGAAAUGUUCUCUCUUUUUUUCCCUGACAAAUAGAAAAAAAUUGUUUGCAUUGUAAUGGCUUCAAGCUGUGCCAGGGAAGAUUCAGGCUGGACGUUAGGAAAGGGUGCUCAGGGUGGUCAGGCACUGGAAUGGGCUGCCCAGAGAGGUGGUGGAGUCACCGACCGUGGUGGUGUUCAAAGAGCGUUUGGAUGUUGUGUUGAGGGACAUGGUUUAGUGAGAACCAUUGGUGAAGGGUGAACGAGUGGUUGGACUGGAUGAUCCUGUGGGUCUUUUCUAACCUUAACGAUUCUAUGAUUCUAUAAUUCUAAAGUGUCAACCUAUCAGUUGAAUUUUGGACUGAGAUGUAAAGCCAUAGAACCUUAACCUUUCACCUAGACACUAUACGUUUUUAUCAUUUUUGAUGCAGUCGCUUACAGAUUCAUCUUAUUUAUGCUGUUUGCCAUUUGCACAUCCACUCGACAUUUCAGAUUUCGAAUGUAAACAAGGGAGAAAUUCAUAUGAAAUGGCACGAAAAAAAUAUUGUUUAUUUUAAACUACCAACAUCAGAUUUUGGAGUUCUUGAAACCAUCUUCACUGUUGCUGGACUACUUGAGUGUAAUCAUAGGAAAUUUUGCUUAAAUUUUAGUAUUAAUUCCCUGUUUAGGUUGUUUGACUAAUAUUAGAAAUUUCAAUGACUAAUCAUGUAUAUAUUUUCAGUUAUUUCCCAAAGUAAAAUGUUCCUACUUUUUUUUUUUUUUUUUUUAAGAAUAUGUUUUUUGUAAAGUGUGAUUUCUGUCACUUAAAACACUAUGGGAAACUUUCAAAUUAAUUAAUUUAAUUUAAUUUAAUUUAAUUAAUUCAUUGAUGAAGCUAAACCUAUAUUUGCGCUUUCGGAAAAAUGUAUAAGAGUAUUUUCACAAGCUGGGGGUCCUCUUUAGUUUUAAUGGAUGCUAGUACCAUGACCUUUUUUCUUGAAAAGCUCAUGGAAAACUUCAGGGCAGGGGGAUGAAAUAUUUUGAUUGGCAGAAAAGAUGGGAUGUUUAUAAUUUUAAUCAAAUUUAGAAUCAAGACAUACUUCAAAUAAUAUGUCAGACUAGUGUUAAUGAGUUUAAAAUCUAAUGACAACAGCUGUCAUUAUUAGUUAAAUAUAGCCAUUGUGCCUAUGGCAAUAAGUGACACUUCUGAACAUGUAGAAACAAAAAAUUCUCAAGUAUUUAGAGAAAAGGGAGUGACUGUAAACUUAUCUAAACCCAGGAAUGUGACCUGGGCAUAAUGUAUUUCCCAAGUACAGAGGCUUCUGUAAUUUGGACAAAAGAAGUAAUUGAAUGCAACAUUACGUGUUGUUACUACUAGAACGCUCAUAUUUUAGGAAAC